UUCUUCAAUGAUGGGCUCCUUGCCAUUCUUGACUUGGUAGUUGUGUCUUCGAUGGAAUCCAUGCGAUGGUCUCAGCGGUGAAGGGUUCAUGCUGGUGAGGUUUAGAGAAAUGGUGGAUUUGGACUCCUAUGGUGCGUUGUCGGGGUGAGAUGGAGGCGGUGGUGAGAACCCUUGCAAGUGGGUUAGUUGGUUGUUUAGAUGGGAGAGUAGUGGAUCUGGAUAUGUUAUGACAUACGCUUCCAGGAGCUUGCAGCGUUGUAUGUGGCAAGAGGUGCUCAUUUGAUAUGCUAUCCUGGUGCAUUCAACAUGACUACUGGUCCAUUGCAUUGGGAAUUGCUGCAAAGUUCAAGGGCUAUUGAUAAUCAGGUACAUGAAACCUCCCUGGUGUGUUUUUGAGUCAUUAUCCAUUGUAAGAAGUAAGAACAUAGCUAAUGGAUAAAGCUUUCUAAUUAUGCAAUUUUCCUAUUCAGGAUUAUCUUUUUGUUGAAUCAGACCUUCCAUUUGUCACCAUAGAACUGGAUAUUCAAAUGUGGUAGUCGAAGUUUAGGAGUGACCUGCUUUCUGGUUAGAUAACUGCUUUCUGGUUAGAUAAUUACCUAGUUAUUAUCCUUAUUUUGGAGAAGUUAGAGCUUUAUUAUUGUGAGGUUUUUGUUGUGCUGAUGCUGUGAAGGGUACUGCCCAAAAGUGAAGAAUCAUUUGAUCUUGAAAAUAGAAAUAUACUCAUGGUGAUGUGUGUCUUAUAUUUAAAUUUGGAAAUUAUCAUAAUAUAUGUCCGAUCGGAUUAAAUUACGCCUCUUGGAUUCACCUUGCUCACUUGUUUCUCAGUUAUUUGUUGCAACUUGUUCUCCAGCCUGUGAUGCUAGUGCAGGCUACAUAGCUUGGGGUCACUCAACACUUGUUGGACCAGUAAGUAUUAAUAUUAACAAUAAUAAAAAGGAAAAAUGUAGAUGUUACUGAUGUUCAUACAGUCAAAAUGUUUAAAAUUUUGUUAAAUGAAUAGCUCCUGUUUUUUAAAGUGUUUGAUAAACCAAGCUUAAUUGUGAAAUUCUUAAUGAUAAAGAUAUGUCCAUCUAUUUGUGGAACUUAAUUACAGCUAUCUACUCUAUAUGUUGCAGCUCAACAUAUGAUAUGGGUGGACAACUGAACAUGCUUCUUUUUCUAGUGUUUGUGAAUUUUGCUAAUGGAAACUAGAGGGUGAAAGCUGUAAAUAAUGAUGAUGUCUGAAAGUUCAUACGCAUCAGUACCUUACGCAUGAAAUCAUUGUCCCUUGAAGGGCUGGUUUGCAUUUGGAAAGAAUGCUUAAUAUUUUCAAUAUUAUUGUUAGGUUUUUCUCAAUUCUAGUUAUCUAUAAAAAAAUAAGGGCCAAGUCCCCUUGAGUUUUUUUUGGAAUAUUGUUUAAUACUUAGAUCUUAUGGUUUUGUCCUUAGAGAAAAGUGAAAAUACCGGAAGCACUUCUCUUUUGAGUCUUGGUUACGAGGGUUGAGUGUGGAAAGGUCGAUAAAAGGUGCUCCUCUAAAAGCUGUUUUUGCUUGGGAAAGUUAUUAUUAUGCUGUAGUUCUUGGAAACAUUUCAUUAUAUGAUGUUGAUAACCCUUUGAACUUGUUUUGCACGAAGAAAAUGUUCAACUCGUCAAGAUAAAAGUCGAUAGAGGUGAGAAUAAACUGAUAUAGGAUGACUUCAAACCAAUGGAAUUCACCAAAUCCGUCAGCCACAUGCUUUGAUGGAUUCUCUUUAGUAGUUGCUCUCUUAGCCAUCGAAAGUCUUAUUUAAAGUCAAUAUCUAUUAGUUCUUGUGUUUUAAUACUAAUUGCCUUAUUUAAGUUGAGAUUUGUUCUUCAAUUUGCUAUUGUUGAUGAUG